AUUUAGGUCAGAUAUAGAAGGAUCUGUCAGUAGGAGAUCAACACUGGCACGCCAAGUGUCAAAGUCUGGCUCAUUAACAGGUCUAGGAAUUUUUCCAGAGAAAGAUCGGAGGCGAAAAGAGGUAUAGUGCAUAUGAGCUGUGUCAUUUGUGCGGACAAUGUGCUCAACUACUACCUUUUGCACGCUAGGAGGAUCAAUUAUAUCCAUGGUAAGUGCUGGAUGGGAUGACACUGUUACUGUGGGUUUAGUACUUCUAUGGUUAAGGUUUUCCUUGGGCAGGUUUUUUGAAUUUGUUGAUUCAACUUCAUGAAAUGGUGAAAUUCUGGAUGAAGGAAAAGCUGUUUGUUCAGUAAUCAUACUUUGUGAUAUGACUGGAGACAGCAGUCUAUUUGGUGAACUGACUGUGCUACGAUCAAGUAUUUGAGAACGUGCUACAUUUGGAAAUUCAAGCUUUUUAUCCAAAACAGGUAGUGACUCAGCAUGAGAAGGACCAAAUUUAAUUUUCAGUAACUCUGUUUGGAGUACUUCCUCAAUGGAUUUCCCACUAAAACUAGCAAUGUUUUGCAAUUCCUCCAGAUAUCCAUUAGUAGCACUAUCACUAGCAAUAUGGGGGUAGACGCAGCUUAAAGCACGUACCAUAAAAGUGGUACUUGGGUUUGACAUACUAACUACAGUUAAAGGCAAAAGAGGCAUCAAUGUUUUCAUCGCGGAGUUAUGUGUAAACUCUAUGAUAGCAUGUCGAUGAAACUCACAGUCAGGGUCAUCAAUGAGAAGAUGUCGGUUAAUACUACCAUAUCUUAAAAGCCAUGACUCUAAAUCUGAGUCUGCCUCAGUCAGUGUCAUUCCACCCACAAUUACUGCUUUUGAGAUAUUUACAUUCUCUUUUUCUAUGAUAUCCAUGACGUUAAAGUUCUCUCCGAUUUGUAAUAUUUAUAGUGAACUCGAAUACUGUAAUUAUACACUGUUGUUGCAAUCUCUCUCCUGGCUGGCUCUCGCCACUUUUUGGUAUGUAACCCUCGGUAGACAAAUGUAUUAUAAGAUUUAAUCAAUGGACCAGAUGCUCAGAAGUCUAAAUUCCUCCAAAGAGAGAGAAGAUACAACAACAGUGAAGGACUCGGACACAGAGGCUAUAUCACUAAUAAGGUGUAUCCAAAGAAUCCACUCAAUGGGAGGCUCGCCAGUCCA